CCAACUUUUAAGCCUGACAUCUGAAAUGAUAUAAAAUUCUGCAUUUUAGUAUCAUUUCCUCAUACACAGCCAAAACUUCAAUAGUAAAGCAUUUACAUUUGAGUUGAAUAUAUUUGGUGCCUUAACCAAUGCUUUUUUUUAAAAAAAAAAUUGCUGAAUCUAAGUAUAUAUGGCACAUCAAACAAAAAACUUAUGCAGGAAAAUGAAGUUAGUUGAUUUCUGUAGGAGCUGUUCUUAUCAACGGUGACUGCAGGAUCAUCCAUCCUCUGUCACUAAGUUAGAGGUAAGUGACCAUUAGUCCUCAUGUCAGUGCAUCCGUUUCAACUGCAGAAUUAAUGCUUCACAAGGGUUGUUUCUCUGGAGCAACCUCCUCUACUGUCCAUCAAGUCCAUAAUAACGAAGGAAAUGAUGAACACCAUCCCAUAUCUCAUGUGUCCAUCACCAUCUUCUAUUUCGCUAGACACUCCUUUCAACAGAGAAAUUUUCACCCUGGUCCAGUGAAAACUAAAUCCUCCCAUGAGUAAUUCUGGGGCAUCCUGCUUUUAAAAACCCUUUAUGGGACCAUAAAAUACUUCGCCUCACUCCUUCAAGAAGUUGGCCUUAGCAAUGGGAGCAAAUUGUGUUGCAUGAGCUGGACAAGUUGAGCAAAUUCUUAUUUCUCUUGUCUACAGUACAUCCGACUUCCUUAUUGGACUAGAUGUAUUUAGCAAAAGGAAACAAUGUUUCAAUUGCGUUCUCUCUUUACAGUAUGCAGAUCACUUAAGACUCACCUUGUAAGCCAGGAGCAGACUCCAGCAUACAGAGCAAAGCAUUCUAGACAUGCUGAUAUUUUUAUGUGCCCAAGAACACAACCAUUUACAGCCCAGAGGUACUUGACUGCUAAUGAUCUUUGAAGUUAACAAGGAGAAGAAGUGGGAUGAUGACGGGCUGCCACAACCAUAGUCCCAUUUCCCCAUCUUUGCAGAUAGUUAAAAGCCUCAUGUAUUUUCCCUGAUGAAGGAGGAGUUACUUUCUGUCUACGGCCUGCCCUCUGGGGAAAUCACUUUUGCACUGCCAUCAAAGUAGUAAACUAUCCAGAUUGACAAGAAAGGAACAUAAUUUAUGAGCUAGGGAAAGUCAGCUCCUCAUAUAAAUAAGCAAUAAUACUCUGGAGGAUGCUGUCGAUGCUGGAGUCACUGCUUGCAGAACCUAAGCAAGUGAAUGCCUGGAUGAGGAUCCACCCAUGCACAGAUCUUCAGCCACAUGUCACUCCGGGCUUGUGCAAAAUCACAGACGUAACUGAUGGUCAGAGUUAGGAUUACAGUGAGGAUGGGACAAGGAGACAAUGAAACAAAAACAACAUGAUGCUGGAUUGGUGGGUGAAAGCCCUGUACCACAGCCCCAGGCCUGCCACCACCUUGUCCUGUCGUAUGCACUUGGGCAAAUCUUGUACCUUUUCCAAGACGCAGGAAUUGGGCCAGAUGGUGGGAAAGGUAUCUUCUGAGUCUGAGACCCUGUGAAGAUAAGAUUCAGGGUCCAGGGCCCCCGUCUUGGCACACUGAGGAUACAUACACUGAAAUUAGAAGGUGGCAGAGAGGAGAAUUCAUCGACAACACCCAUCCCCUUAGCCCUCAGGAAAUAUCUACAAAUGUACCACCACUAAAAGGCAACAAGCCUUUUAUAGAUUCACAGUGAUUUAUAACCUUCUAUUUGGCUGCAGAAGGGAAAAGAAGACCAGUUUUCACAUACCCUGGAGAAGAGCAAAAGGGAAAAUGAAGAACUAUCUGAGAAAUGCUCCUGAAAAUGCUGGAACAAAAGCGAAAUUAUGCAAAGACCCUGGUUAAUCUCCAUAUCAAUUCCAUGGUCCAAAAUUACACAGGUUCUGGAGAAAUAGAUUCCAACAAAAGCCAUGGUAUCCAGAUGAUCGUCCGCUGCCAAGUGCCCCAGUAUGAACGCACAGACGCUGGGUCUAGAGGGGGAGGGGAGUUUGAGAGGGUCCUCAUACCAGGGUUCUGAAAGCUUUCCCAGACUGAGUCAACCAUGUCACUCUUGUAAGUGUGUGGUUGGACCAGAUCCCAUAGUUUGAUCCAGAUUUUAAGAGUGGAGAAACUCUGGCAUAGUCUUUGUUUUAAUACAAAAACCAACCAAUGAGGGAGUAGAGGACACAGAGACUUAACCAAUCAUCACUUCAGAGAGCAAGACCCUAAAGCACCACAGUAGCCUGAAGAUUUGAAGGCCCUUCUCCAUCCUCCUGAAGGCAUGAGACCCUCUCACAUACACUAAGACUCACCUUGGAAGGAGAAAGAUGGAAGGCUCAACUCUGAAAAUUGAACCUGAAGGCAAUCAUUACACACUGGAAAGAAAUCAUUUAAAAAAGAAGCUACCGACAAAGUUAAAUCCUCAACUAUGCAGUAGGAAGGGAGCUGGUAAGAAAGAAGGUGUAAUAAUAAAGAAAUAAGCAAACAGAUAAGGAAAUAAAUGAAGGAAUGAAAAUAAAAU
rnacentral:lncRNA from 1 species